GUGAAUCAUCGAAUCUUUGAACGCACCUUGCGCGUCCUGGGUAUUCCCAGGAGCAUGCCUGUUUGAGUGUCAUGAAUCCCUCAAAUCCCAAUGUUUUGCAAAAUUCGUUGCUUGGAUUUGGUCAUGGGCCGACUUUGCUACUUUAUUGUUAGCUGGCCUUAAAGACAUUAGCUUGGACUUUCGAACCUUUUCAGAAGGGUCUCCAUAUGAUGUGAUAAAUUUACGUCGAUGGGCUAAUGACUCUACUGUUGUCAAUGGUUUUGAAAAUGAAUAGUCUAGCUUUCUAACCCGGCGAAGAGUUCCAUCUCUGACCCACUUUUCAUUUAACUCUGGCCUCAAAUCAGGUAAGACUACCCGCUGAACUUAA
rnacentral:rRNA from 1 species